CUUUGGGCACCACCAAAGUUUCGGACCUGGGAUCUAGGCCACUUCUCCUCCUCUCUGGAAAAUCGUCUGGUCGGUGGCUGGGCUGACUAGCUAGCAUGGACUCUCCCUCUCCCCUAACUGCAGCCCUGAUGCCAAACCCCCACCCAGAUAGCCAGGAAGUCUGCCACUUUCUUAAAGAGCUCCAGGAAAAGAGAUCAAAUAGGCUGGGCGCCAGCCCCUUGCAGGCUCAGCAAAUGACAAAGCGGAGGUGUAGCCAGCACAGCCAAUCCCAGCCCUGAGAGCCUCUGCAGCACUUUCUAUUCCCGAAACAAACAUGCACCCGGUCUGUGAGGGGGAGGGGGCUCUCAGCGUGGUCUGUGUUUGUGGGGGAUUGGGGGGGAGGUGGGCGCGGGAGACUCGUACAGAGUGAACCGGGGUAGGGGCAAAAGGGGCAUCCUCCUCACCUGCCCUCUGUCCCCCUCGUUCCGCCUCUUGCCAGGAGUUGGCACCGGAUACACGAGCUAUUUAAAAAUAAUUCUAGUGAUCCUAAAAGCCUCGUUGCUCUGUGGGAGGCUGGAUGGGCAGAGAAUCAGGAGCCACGACCCUGAGCUGGGCUGGAGGAAGCCAGAUGGACGUGGACAGUGUUCCGCUGUCCCCUCCCGAGCUGCAGGGAGAUCCCGACACCAGGUGUCGACGUCUGAGCUCCGAACCUGAGACGGGGUCCUCUACGGCCGAAGGCCGGCCCAACCCAGGUCCGGGCCUCGUCCUCCCCUGACUUCCCCAUCCCUUCCCGCUUCUCCGGAACCAAGAUCUCAGUCACGGGGUCUCCCUGGUUCAGCGCCAGGUUCUCCGAGUUGACAUCUGACUCUGCUCCCCAGCCGGCGGGAGCCGCCAAAGAGAUCCCGAGGCUUGGAGAACCGGACAACCUCAAGCCACCGACAAGGCCACCCGAGA
rnacentral:lncRNA from 1 species